CCUCCAGCUGUUUUGGGUCUGCAAUUCCCUUCAUCCCUGACCACUGAGGUUAGCUAGGGAUGAUGGGAGUUGUAGUCCCAAAACAUCUGGAAG